CGAACAUCUUGCAGUAGUCCAGCUCCGCCCCCCUCCUGUCCUCAGGCAGGACCUACAGGUAACCACGGUAACAGGGAAAGAGAAUGGAGGAUUUCAGCAAGCGCAUCCGCAAACACUGAUAGAUUCAUAGGGGGAUAUACGAGAAGGAAACAUAUAUAGCUUUAAAUAGGAACAUUUCACAAUGUCUAGAUGAAACCACGUCCCAUGACAUGCGUAGAUCCAGCUAUUACAUGCCUCAAAUCUCGAAUGAAGAUACAGUAAGCACCGUCUAAUUUCCUGGUUUUCUUCGGUGCAUAUCUUUUCCAUUCAUUUGGGAUGAAGACAUAUAGCUGGAUCUAUCACAGCUAUCACUUUACGCUUGCGCGCAGUGGCUGAACAUUAAUCGCACCAGUAUAUAUUGCAUGACAGCCAUGUGUGGAUCAACUGUAAGGAGCUGGGUCUGUCUUUCAGAACCGUGUGUAUUAAAAAUGGAGCUUAAUGAACACACCCAGGUUUGGCGGUAGCGUUAAAUGGAGGACGGGGCCUCACCGUCCACCUGUUGAGGGCCUCCAGCCGGCCCACCCUGGCGAUGAGCAGCUGCAUGGCUGUGCCGGGGGUUCUGCCGACAAGACAACCGGACCAGGCUCUGCAGCUUCUCUAGCUCGUUUAUUACCGACCACUGUGUGUGUGUGUGUGUCAGUGAGUGAAUGAGAUUGUAAGAGUGUGUGUCAGUGACUGUGUGUUUGAAUGUGUGAUUUUUAUUGUUGUAUGUAUUGCAGUGUCAGUGUGUAAGCACAAGAGGGUGUGUGUGUAGAGUUUGGAAAGAGAGAGAAAGGGGAGAUAAAGGGUUGAGUUACAUGUGAAAACUUUCUUUCCCCCCCCCACUACCUAUCUUUACAGAACAAGUAUUAACUUUUUGCAGACUAACGUUAGUGACAUUCAUCAAAUUAGUUUUAGUAAUUCAUCAUUCAUAUAUCCAGAUACAUUUCAUUAAAAUAAAAUCUCUCUUAGAAGAGAGACCUUACUAACAGAUAGGGAUGAAACGGUUACCGGUUUCACGAUAAACCACGGUAAAAUUCCCGACGGUUAGUAUGACCAUUUGAAAUGUUAAUUAUCAUUAAAACCGUGUUUGAUUACAGAGGUUUGAAAAACUCACGGUAAAUACUGUCCAGCAUCAACCAAAGUUAGCAAGUCUGGCGCAGGCGCAGCAUGCAACGUGGGUUUAGUUUUGUGUGAAAACAUGGCGGAAGGCAGUGACAGAGCUGUGAAGUGUGGUCGUAUUUUUGGGUUUUACAAGAGUGCUGAGGGAAACUUAAUCGAAGAUGGUGACCCUGUCUGCAGAACAAGCAAAAAGAGAGAGAAAAUCUCUGCGAAAGGGGGCAACACUUUUAAUCUCGAGUCAUCUUCAUGACCACCACCCACUACUUUAGAGCGAAUGCAAGAGUGGGCGUGCAGCAGGCAAACCCAGUGAUGCUACUGGUCCCUCAUCUACAGUUGUGACACAGACACUGAAGCAAGCAUUUAAAAAGGCAGGCUGCUUAUGCAUCCACAUCAAUAAAUGCUCAAGACCUCACUGCAGGCCUUUCAUAUUACAUUGCAAAGGACAUGAUGCCAUUUCAAAUUGUUGAGAGGCCUGGCUUUCUGAGGCUGAUGAAGGUUGCCGUGCCAUCACGAAUAUUAUUUUCCAAGACUGAAAUCCCAAAACCUGUACAACCAGGUUAAAGCUGAUGUUGGAAAAAGUUUGGCUCAAGGCAUACGGUUUGCUGCAGCUACUGACCUCUGGACCAGCGAAAGCGAGGGUGGUCAACCCUACAUCAGCUUCACUAUCCAUUACCUCACCCCAGACUGGCGACUGGGAUCAAACUGCCUGGAAACACAGUUCUUCCGAGAAGAUCACUCGACUCACAACAUCAGAGUUUUUUGAGAAUAUGCUGAAAGAGUGGGUGGGAUCAACAAGAAAGACCUUGUCUGCAUAACCACAGACAACGCAACAAACAUGAUCAAGGCUUUUGAAGAGUUCCCAGAUCUGUGGCUUUGGUGCUUUGGCAAUAAUUUGAACAUGGCCAUCUCAAAGGCUCUGACAAUUCAGAGAGUUGACACAGCAGUCAAGGAGUGCCGUCAUCUCAUCCAAGGCUUCUCACGAAGCUGGAAGAGAAGGAGAGAACUGAGAGAAAAGCAAGCUGCCCUCAACAUGCCACAGAAGGCUCUGAUCCAUGUGGUGACCUGAUGGGGAUCUACACACAAGAUCCUUGAGCGUUUCGUCAGCCAACAGCAGCCAGUCUGUGCGACACUGGCUGGUGAAAGAGGAACAUGGCAUCUGAUGUCCAAGGAUACCGGCAUGUGUCAUGGUGCAACUGUGCCAGCUCCUCAGUCUGUGCAUCUGUAAACUUGCUCAGAGACACUGUCAGCCAUCAAGCCUGUCCUGGACCACAUCACCGUGAUGUUCUGGUGGAAAAGGAUACGGAGCCGUCCCCGACAAAGGAGAUGAAAAGGGUAAUGAGAGAAGACCUUACCCCUUUUUUUUCAAUUUUCGCCUAAAAUUACAUACCCAAGUCUAACUGCCUGUAGCUAAGGCCCUGAAGCAAGGAGAUGCAUAUUCUUGGUACCAUUUGAAAGGAAACACUUUGAAGUUUAUGGAAAUGUGAAAAGAAUGGAGAACACCACAAUUGAUCUGGUAAAAGAUAAUACGAAGAACUAAAGAAAAAAAACAUGAUUUUGUAUUUUUUUUGUACCAUCUUUAAAAUGCAAGAGAAAGGCCAUAAUGUAUUAUUCCAGCCCAGGUGCAAUUUCGACGUUGGCCACUAAAUGGCAGCAGUGUAUGUGCAAAAUUUUAGACUGAUCCAAUGAACCAUUGUAUUUCUGUUCAAAAUGUUGUAUCAAGACAGCCUAAUUUGUUUAUUAAUAUCUUCAUGUUCAAAAUUAGACACUCUCCUCAAACAAUAGCAUGAUAUUCGUUCACUGUAAUAGCGACUGUAAAUUGGACAGUGUAGUUAGAUUAACAAGAAUGUAAGCUUUCUGCCAAUAUCAGAUAUGUCUAUGUCCUGGGAAAUGUUCUUGUUACUUACAACCUCAUGCUAAUCGCAUUAGCCUAGGUUAGCUCAACCGUCCCGUGGAAGGGACACCGAUCCCGAAGAAGUUUAACAGAUACACAGAGAAGGCAAAGAAAGAGUCAUGCACAUGGCUUGUUUCGUUGACCCACGCUUCAAAAGGAGCUUUUUAGAUGAGCCUGAGGCUGCAAAAGUUGACACUGACAGCUGUGUCCAGGAGGCCUUGAAGCUGGCAGCUGCACAAGUCAGGGAAGAACCACAAAGCACCAGCAGCACCUCCACCCCCACAGCGGCAUCAGAGGGGAAAGGCCUGGCUGGGUUGCUGAGAAAGAUCACCUCUCUGCUGCCUUGUUGAGGUAAAGAGGGUCAGAUUCCGACCUCCCCAGAAGACAGAGUGAAAGAAGAGAUCAAGGUCUACCUGUCUCUGCCACCCAUUCCAGCAGAAGAGGAUCCACUGGUGUGGUGGAGGGACCAUGCAUCAGAGCUGUCUCACCUUGACAGGGUUGCCAGGCAGCUUUUGUGCAUCCCAGCAAACAGCGUGCCAUCAGAGGGUAUUCAGUGCCAGCGGGCACAUUGUCUCCCCUCGCAGAUCACUACUUAAACCGGACCAAGUAAAUAUGCUGACAUUUUUACAUUUCAUUCUCAAGUGAACAAAGAUGCAUCCGUACAGGACGUUAGGCCAGCAGCACCUUAUUUCUGUAUGAAGGAGAGAACGGACAUACAAUCAGUGCUGUUCAUUUGAUUGGUUUACAUAUGGUUGUAUUGCUCUUACGUGCACAUUGGAUGUGUUUACAUAUGGUUGUAUUGCUCUUACGUGCACAUUGCUUUACUUGUGUUGCUUUUAUAUGCACAUUUGAUUUGCUUCCUUAAAGGUUGUGUUCAUUUAAACCUCCACGAGGGAAACUUUUACCUCUCAUGGCCACAUGGUGCCAUCUUUAAUGUUAUUAUUUUAAUGUCUAUGCACAAAGUGCAUAGUGCUGCUAAUUGUAUUUGUUGGUUUUCAAUAUAAAACUUGGUGAAAUUA